rnacentral:rRNA from 1 species
UACGUAGGGAGCAAGCGUUGUCCGGAAUCAUUGGGCGUAAAGCGCGCGUAGGCGGCCUCAUAAGUCCGUUGUGAAAGUCAAAGGCUCAACCUUUGAAAGCCGAUGGAUACUGUGAGGCUAGAGUCCGGAAGAGGCGAGUGGAAUUCCUGGUGUAGCGGUGGAAUGCGCAGAUAUCAGGAAGAACACCGACGGCGAAGGCAGCUCGCUGGGACGGUACUGACACUGAGGCGCGAAAGCGUGGGGAGCGAACAGG